rnacentral:rRNA from 1 species
UACGUAGGGUGCGAGCGUUGUCCGGAAUUAUUGGGCGUAAAGGGCUCGUAGGCGGUCUGUUGCGUCGGGAGUGAAAACUCAGGGCUUAACCCUGAGCCUGCUUCCGAUACGGGCAGACUAGAGGUAUGCAGGGGAGAACGGAAUUCCUGGUGUAGCGGUGAAAUGCGCAGAUAUCAGGAAGAACACCCGUGGCGAAGGCGGCUCUCUGGGACGGUACUGACGCUGAGACGCGAAAGCGUGGGGAGCGAACAGG